rnacentral:rRNA from 1 species
AUUGAACGCUGGCGGCAGGCCUAACACAUGCAAGUCGAACGAGUGGCGGACGGGUGAGUAAUGUAUGGGAAACUGCCUGAUGGAGGGGGAUAACUCCUGGAAACGGUAGCUAAUCCCGCAUACCAUCAGAUGUACCCAGUUGGGAUUAGCUUGUUGGUGGGGUAAAGGCGCACCAAGGCGACGAUCCCUAGCUGGUCUGAGUGGAUGACCAUCCACACUGGAACUGAGACACGGCCAAGACUCCUACGGGAGUCAGCAGUGGGGAAUAUUGCACAAUGGGCGCAAGCCUGAUGCAGCCAGGCCGCGGGUAUGAAGAAGGCCUUCGGGUUGUAAAGUACGUUCAGCGGGGAGGCGUUACCCGCAGAAGAAGCACCGGCUAACUCCGUGCCAGCAGCCGCGGUAAUUC